GAUCCAAGGCCCCAACCUGCUGCUAAGCUCUUCUUUCCAAUAACAGGUUAUGAGUGACUCUUAAUAGGAACUGCCACCACUGCACCUUGCUGAAAAACAAUCCCAAUGGAGGAGAUUCAAGCGACCAAGGUGAAGCUACGGAGGAAGAAGGGCACGAAGAUCAUAUUUCUGGAGAAAGGCAGUGAGCAGCUAGAUAUAACCCUGCCAGACCUGGUAUUCAACAUCGGAGAGAAGCCACACCCAUUGUUCACCCAAGAUCACUGUACUUGAUAUCUUCAGCGAUGAAUAUAUGAUCAUUUACUGAUUUGUCGAA